UGCUUUGUUAUGGACACAAGAUAACUCGGUGCAGAUUGGUUAGUCACCAUGCCGAGAUUAUAUGAACGUUGAGUAUUGACAUAGAAGGAUACUUUUGUGUAGGUACUUUUGGUAUAUUGUGAGAUAUAUCAAGUAGACGGAAACUGUCAAUAACAAAUAUAAGUGCAAAACAUUAUCGCAGCAAAAAGUAGAUUUCAGGACGUUGGUAUAAUAGACGCUCACUCGGUGAGAAGAAUCUUGAGGCUUGCUAGGUGGAACUGUGCAAGAUUGUAGAGAAAAUCCAAAUAAGCCAAUUGUGUCGUUGAUACGCAGAAAUGUGUGUAUAAGCCCUGUUUAUCGUCCGAGUAGCCCAAAUCGACAUUAAAAUAAAACACAUAUAAUAGAAGAAUUUAUAAACAAAAAAUCUUUUCUGAAUGACAUGGGUGAAAGAUAGAGGUAAUCAGUCCUCUUUAUUCUUGAUGCUUAAUGCAUUGCUAUAGAAGUAAUGAGGUAGCUCCUUAUUGCUCAGACUAUAGCAGAUAAUGACUGAAUAUUGGUACGAUUUUGUGUUUGUAAGGCGAAGGUCUGUUUUGUGUUCAUUAUAAAG
rnacentral:sRNA from 12 species